rnacentral:rRNA from 1 species
GAUGAACGCUAGCGGCAGGCUUAAUACAUGCAAGUCGAGGGGCAGCAUAAGUAGCAAUACUUGAUGGCGACCGGCAAACGGGUGCGGAACACGUACGCAACCUUCCUUUAAGUGGGGAAUAGCCCGGGGAAACCCGGAUUAAUACCCCGUAAUAUUAUGAUGUGGCAUCACAUUAUAAUUAUAGAUUCAUCGCUUAAAGAUGGGCGUGCGCCUGAUUAGGUAGUUGGCGGAGUAAUAGCCCACCAAGCCUGCGAUCAGUAACUGGUGUGAGAGCACGACCAGUCACACGGGCACUGAGACACGGGCCCGACUCCUACGGGAGGCAGCAGUAAGGAAUAUUGGUCAAUGGACGCAAGUCUGAACCAGCCAUGCCGCGUGGAGGAU